rnacentral:rRNA from 1 species
UGGGGAAUUUUGGACAAUGGGCGAAAGCCUGAUCCAGCAAUGCCGCGUGUGUGAAGAAGGCCUUCGGGUUGUAAAGCACUUUUUGUCCGGUAAAGAAAUCCUUGGCUCUAAUACAGUCGGGGGAUGACGUACCGGAAGAAUAAGCACCGGCUAACUACGUGCCAGCAGCCGCGGUAAUACGUAGGGUGCAAGCGUUAAUCGGAAUUACUGGGCGUAAAGCGUGCGCAGGCGGUUUGCUAAGACCGAUGUGAAAUCCCCGGGCUCAACCUGGGAACUGCAUUGGUGACUGGCAGGCUAGAGUAUGGCAGAGGGGGGUAGAAUUCCACGUGUAGCAGUGAAAUGCGUAGAGAUGUGGAGGAAUACCGAUGGGCGAAGGCAGCCCCCUGGGCCAAAUACUGACGCUCAUGCACGAAAGCGUGGGGAGCAAACAGGAUUA